rnacentral:rRNA from 1 species
UACGAAGGGUGCAAACGUUGCUCGGAAUUAUUGGGCGUAAAGCGCACGUAGGCGGCAUUGCAAGUCGGAUGUGAAAUCUUAUGGCUUAACCAUAAAAGUGCAUCCGAAACUGCAGUGCUUGAGUACUUAAGAGGAUCGCGGAAUUCCCGGUGUAGAGGUGAAAUUCGUAGAUAUCGGGAGGAGCACCAGUGGCGAAGGCGGCGAUCUGGGAAGAUACUGACGCUGAGGUGCGAAAGCGUGGGGAGCAAACAGG